GGCUAGUGUGAACCAGGCUUAAAUUCCUUGUUACGAACAUUGAAGUUUUACAUGUAAACUUUUCAUCCUUUUGAUGAAAACAACUGCAAAUGUUGUUUUAGGUAAAACAACCUGUCUUCUAUCUUGUCCACUAUCUUGAUAUCUUGUCCUCUCUGCCUAGGUGUGGUCGUUUACAAAAGCUUUCUCAGAAGUGCGGCAGUGGGUGUAUUCAGACGCUCCAGGUCUUCUCGCACAUUUUGAGAAAUGUCCGUUUUACGAAAAGUAUGUGCAUGAGAAAGCCUUUAGAUAUGCCAAAGUUUUUGGACAACUGCCAUUGUCGAUGUAACAGGUCUGUGCGGUGAUCAAAGUUUCAGCAUCUUUCCUGAAAAGGAUUGUCACUAUCAAAAUUGUCUAGUGUUAGUUCAGCUAGUGUUGAAGGGUUAACAGUGAUCCUAUUUGCCAAUGUGUCUCCCUAAUGAAUGAGAUGAUUUUACUUGUCAGGGAGAGAGUGUGCUGAUGCUCAAGGGGUUAAGGGCCAGUUUGUAUGUUCCCGGUGGAACAGGAUGUUUCUAUCCCACCUAGCUAUGGGAUCUUCAACAACAGUCUUGUCUUGCUGAACCAUAAUUGUAUGCUGCAAACAGGCCAUAAAUGCCCAGGUUAGCACUAUUUUCCAUCCAGCAAACUGACCUGACGUCAUUUUCGGAAGAUAGAAGAGGUGUUAAAUGGCUAUGUAACUAACCCCUACUCCAACCCCUAACCGCAACCCUAACUCUAACCCUAACCCAAUUAAUAAAAAAAAUUUAAAAACGACUUUAGAAAAUCGAUAGGGCGGUUUGCUGGAUGGGAAAAAGUGCUAACCGAACGCCAUUUCCACUCAAGAAAAUUUCCAAUGAAAGCAAAC
rnacentral:lncRNA from 1 species